CUCAUUUUAAAAGGGCACAUCCCCUCCACUUUCUGUCUCUCUCUUGCCCCUGUUUUUGCCAUACGAAGGGGUAGCUCCCCCUUCACUUUCCGCCAUGAUUGAAAGCUUCCUGAGGCCACCUCAGAAGCCAAGCGGAUGCUCCACCAUGCUUCUGUAUGAUGACCGGAGACACAGCUGUUGGAGGAAAAAAGUUUAUGUCAAUUAAAAUCCUGAAUUUCUCUGAUCUGGAAAGAAAAACUGCUAUGAACUCUUUAGAUGCCAACACAAGUGCUGAAGAGGAUGUUACAUGAGAGAAAGAUGGAUUCAUAUGUGGAAAAGCCUUCUAAGGAUAAAGUCUACCAUAUACUGACUUACUUUUGGAGGUAACAAGGGUUGGUGAGAUCUCAGUAGUGUCCUUCUCACGAGGAGCCUUGACAUCCUUCAUGCCACACCACUUUAUCAGUAAACCCUCCAGGAUGGAACUAUUUACUGAAAUGCCAGUACUCCCCCUCAUUUUUUAAACUACAUGACCUGUUCAGUGCUGUCUGUUCUGGAAUGAAAGGCCAAUAUCCAAGUGUUCAGAAAGACCCGGGAGAUGGGACAAAGAGGAUGAAGCUGGGGCUGGAAGGCGACUCUGGGAACGGCUCAUAAAGAUGUCCCACAGAAUGACUGAGGCUUUGUUUCAUGAAUAGGUGUCUCCAUUCGGCCUUGAUGGCUAACCAGCCAACUGAACAAGUGUAAAGGGCCCAAGAAAGGCCCGUAAAACCCAUGACAUGAAAGAACAAUUUAGGAAAAUAACAACUAAGGUAAAAAUAUCAUUUUUAUUGCAUAAAUUGCAUGAGGAGUUGUGAAAUUAAAACCAUUUAUUUAUAAAAGUUAUUUCCUCAAAAAAUAAAUAAUAUUAGGUAUAUCUCCUAAUGCUAUCCCUCCCCCCUCCCCACCCCACAACAGGCCCCAGUGUGUGAUGUUCCCCUUCCUGUGUCCAUGUGUUCUCAUUGUUCAAUUCCCACCUAUGAGUGAGAACAUGCGGUGUUACACCUAAUGUUAAAUGACGAGUUAAUGGGUGCAGCACACCAACAUGGCACAUGUAUACAUAUGUAACAA
rnacentral:lncRNA from 1 species